AAUUUUUAUCUUAAGAUAAAUGAAAAAUUAAUGAAAGUAUUCUUAAUUUUUUUUUAUAAAUUAUUUUAUUUGAAAUAAUUAUAUAUUUAUGACUGUGAAGGUGUUUAAAUUGUUUUAAAGUAGAGUUAGAUGCUCUUACCUUUUGUAUCAGGGUCCAUUAAAUUUAGUGAUUUAUUUUUAUUUCCCGAAAAGAAAUGAGUUAUGUAGGUAGCGUUGUAUUGUGGCACAAAUAUAGCUAAUACUUAUAUAGAAGUGAGAUGUUAACGUAUUUCUUGAUAUCUGGUUCCUUAAUUGACUAGUAAUUUUUUUUUAAAAUUACUAUUAUUUUAUUGGGGUAAGCUCAAUAUUUCUCUAUAUUAUUUUUUUAUUGUAAUAAUUGGAGGAUUGAUAGUGUCUUUUUGUUUAAUAACAUAAAUUUUUUUAUUAAAAUUAGUUAAGGGUUGGUUCUAAGAAAAAUAUUGUUUUUAGUAAAUAAUGAUGGUAUUAGUAGAAUUUUUGAAUUUUAUGUUAACUUAAGUCAUUUUAAUGUAAUAGUUAAAAAAAAAUAAAUUUAAUAGGAACUCGGCAAACUAAUUUUUGAACUGUUUAUCAAAAACAUUUUUCUAAGUGAGGAUUUAGAGUAUCCCCUGCCCACUGUUUUGUUGGAUAAAAGGCCGCAGUAGCCUGACUGUGCUAAGGUAGCAUAAUCAUUUGGGUUUUAAUUGAGCUCUGGUAUGAAAGGGGGAAUCAAAAUAAGCUGUCUUUUAGAUUAAUUUUAAAUUUAAAUUUUUAGUAAAAAUGCUAGAAUAGGGUUGUGGGACGAUAAGACCCUAUAAAGCUUUAUUGUUAUUAAUUCUAUUUUGUUAACUGUGUUAGAAUUAUUGAAUAAUUUGACUGGGGCGGUCACCAAUUUAAACUUGGUUAAAUUAAAACAUUUUAUGAUCCAUUAUUAAUGAAAUAAGAUUAAGUUACUUUAGGGAUAACAGGAUAAAAUACUUUUGGAGUUCUAAUCGAAGAGUAUGUAUGUUACCUCGAUGUUGAAUUAAUAUAUUUUUAAGGUGGAGAUACUUUAUUAAUUAGUCUGUUCGACUAUUAAAAAAUUACAUGAUUUGAGUUCAAACCGGUUUGAGCCAGGUUGG
rnacentral:rRNA from 1 species